rnacentral:rRNA from 1 species
CACCGCGGUUAUACGAGUGACUCAUAUUAACACAACCCGGCGUAAAGAGUGAUUUAAGAAUGAUCUUAAACUAAUUAAAGCUCAGACCUCAUAAAGCUGUUAUACGCAUCUAUGAGUAGAACAAACAACAACGAAAGUGACUUUAUAAACUUAAGAAACCUUGAUGUCACGACAGUUGGGAUC